rnacentral:rRNA from 1 species
CCUAGGGGAGGCAGCAGAAGGGGAAUUUUGGACAAUGGGGGCAACCCUGAUCCAGCCAUUCCGCGUGAGUGAAGAAGGCCUUCGGGUUGUCUUUUUUCAAAACGAAAGGGAAGAAACGAUACAGUCUAAUAAACUGUGUUAAUGACGGUACCUUGAUAAGAAGCACCGGCUAACUACGUGCCAGCAGCCGCGGUAAU